GACGAACGCUGGCGGCGUGCUUAACACAUGCAAGUCGAACGAAGAGCGAUGGAAGCUUGCUUCUAUCAAUCUUAGUGGCGAACGGGUGAGUAACGCGUAAUCAACCUGCCCUUCAGGGGGGGACAACAGUUGGAAACGACUGCUAAUACCGCAUACGAUCCAAUCUCGGCAUCGGGACGGGAUGAAAGGUGGCCUCUAUUUAUAAGCUAGCACUGAAGGUGGGGAUUGCGUCUGAUUAGCUAGUUGGAGGGGGAAGGGCCCCCCAAGGCGAUGAUGCGUAGCCGGUCUGCGAGGAUGAACGGCCACCGUGGGACUGAGACACGGCCCAGACUCCUACGGGAGGCCGCAGUGGGGAAUCUUCCGCAAUGGACGAAAGUCUGACGGAGCACCGCCGCGUGAGUGAUGACGGCCUUCGGGUUGUAAAGCUCUGUUAAUCGGGACGAAUGGUUCUUGUGCGAAUAGUGCGAGGAUUUGACGGUACCGGAAGAGAAAGCCACGGCUAACUACGUG
rnacentral:rRNA from 1 species